GACGAACGCUGGCGGCGUGCUUAACACAUGCAAGUCGAACGUGAUUUUUGUGGAAAGCCCUUCGGGGACGGAAAUGAAAUGAAAGUGGCGAACGGGUGAGUAACACGUGAGCAACCUACCUUACACAGGGGGAUAGCCGUUGGAAACGACGAUUAAUACCGCAUGAGACCACAAAGCCACAUGGCUUAGGGGUAAAAGAUUUAUCGGUGUAAGAUGGGCUCGCGUCUGAUUAGCUAGUUGGAAGGGUAAAGGCCUACCAAGGCAACGAUCAGUAGCCGGUCUGAGAGGAUGAACGGCCACAUUGGAACUGAGACACGGUCCAAACUCCUACGGGAGGCAGCAGUGGGGAAUAUUGCACAAUGGGGGGAACCCUGAUGCAGCGACGCCGCGUGAGCGAAGAAGGUUUUCGAAUCGUAAAGCUCUGUCCUAUGAGAAGAUAAUGACGGUAUCAUAGGAGGAAGCCCCGGCUAAAUACGUGCCAGCAGCCGCGGUAAUACGUAUGGGGCGAGCGUUGUCCGGAAUUAUUGGGCGUAAAGGGUACGUAGGCGGCCUUUUAGGUCAGGUGUGAAAGCGUGAGGCUUAACCUCAUUAAGCACUUGAAACUGGAAGGCUUGAGUGAAGGAGAGGAAAGUGGAAUUCCUAGUGUAGCGGUGAAAUGCGUAGAUAUUAGGAGGAAUACCGGUGGCGAAGGCGACUUUCUGGACUUUUACUGACGCUCAGGUACGAAAGCGUGGGGAGCAAACAGG
rnacentral:rRNA from 1 species